UUUUGAUCCUGGCUCAGAACGAACGCUGGCGGCGUGCCUAACACAUGCAAGUCGCACGAGAAAGGGGCUUCGGCCCUGAGUAAAGUGGCGCACGGGUGAGUAACACGUGACUUAUCUACCUCCGAGUGGGGAAUAACUGAGGGAAACCUUAGCUAAUACCGCAUAACACUUACGAGUCAAAGCAGCAAUGCGCUUGGAGAGGAGGUCGCGGCAGAUUAGCUAGUUGGCGGGGUAAUGGCCCACCAAGGCGAUGAUCUGUAUCCGGCCUGAGAGGGCGCACGGACACACUGGAACUGAAACACGGUCCAGACUCCUACGGGAGGCAGCAGUGGGGAAUUUUGCGCAAUGGGGGAAACCCUGACGCAGCAACGCCGCG
rnacentral:rRNA from 1 species